rnacentral:rRNA from 1 species
GAUGAACGCUAGCGGCAGGCCUAAUACAUGCAAGUCGAACGGUAAGUAUUUUAGCAAUAGAAUACGAGAGUGACGUACGGGUGCGUAACACGUAUGCAACCUACCCUUUACAGGAGGAUAGCUUGGGGAAACUCGAAUUAACCCUCCAUGAGAUCACAGUGUGGCAUCACACAGUGAUUAAAACACCGGUGGUAAAGGAUGGGCAUGCGUCUGAUUAGUUAGUUGGCGGGGUAACGGCCCACCAAGACGAUGAUCAGUAGGGGAACUGAGAGGUUGAUCCCCCACACUGGCACUGAGAUACGGGCCAGACUCCUACGGGAGGCAGCAGUAGGGAAUAUUGGUCAAUGGAUGGAAGUCUGAACCAGCCAUGCCGCGUGCAGGAAGAAGGCCUUCUGGGUUGUGAACUGCUUUUGCCAGGGGAUAAAAAGACCAUGCGUGGUUAAUUGAAGGUACCUGGUGAAUAAGCCACGGCUAACUACGUGCCAGCAGCCGCGGUAA